UACGUAGGUGGCAAGCGUUGUCCGGAUUUAUUGGGUUUAAAGGGUGCGUAGGCGGUUUCUAAGUCAGCAGUGAAAUACGGCAGCUCAACUGUCGAGGUGCUGUUGAUACUGGGGAACUUGAGUACUGAUGAGGUAGGCGGAAUGGACGGUGUAGCGGUGAAAUGCUUAGAGAUCGUCCAGAACACCGAUAGCGAAGGCAGCUUACUAAGGAGUAACUGACGCUGAGGCACGAAAGUGUGGGGAUCAAACAGG
rnacentral:rRNA from 1 species